GGGAGCCAGGGGUGUUCUGGGCUGGGAGGAAGGGAGGUGGGGGGCGCGGUGCCUGGGCCCGGCCUCCCUGGCUCCUGGGGCGGGGCCGUCUUGUUAGCAGAGACUUCUGGCCCGGCCCGGGCUGGGGAGGGGGCCUGGGUGCGGUUUUCUCCUGUGUCGUGGUUGUCUCUUUUGUCUUCCAGGAUGGACCUGUAGGGUCUACGUGGGGUAGGAGCUGGGAGCUGCACGCUGCCAGCGCAGACAUGGACCGAGCGCCUUCUCCCGGCUAGAAGCUGAGGAUUCGGAGGUCAACACGAGGUGCGGUCCCCCCCUCUCAGGACUUCACGACUCCCGGGUGACCCUGGACUCCGGCCACGGUGACACAGGGAGCAGCCUUUGGUGGUUUCCUGGAACCCUGGACAAUUCCCCGGAGACCUCAUCCUUCCCAACUCCUGGGCUGGAGCCCCCCGGGGAUAAAGGCCCCUCCUGGUUGGUGCUCAGCCGAGGACAGGACCUGGCUCUGGAGGACAGCGCGAGGGCUGUGAGGGAGGCUGGCAGCCCACCGUCCCCUCCGCGUCUGUCCGGACCUGCCUGCUGGGCCCUACGGUCCAGGCCUGGAGGCCCUUCCUGACCCCGUGAGGACGUGAUUUCUCCUUGAAUUCCUGCCAGUGACCGGGCAGAGCUGGGCCUGGGCCAAGGCCCCGCUGACCACACCCUCGCCAAGGCUGGGUCUCCAAGGACCCUACAGGACAGGAGUCGGGGAGGAGCUCCCAGUGGGAUGGAGGGUGGACGCAGCCCCCGGGGCGCCACUGGCUGGAGGCUGUCUUGCGCCGUUUGCUGUGUGAGUGAUUCUCGUUUUUGUGGGAGCUUCUUGGAUGGGGCUUUUCCUUGCUUCUCUCCCUGAUGGUGACCAGGAGGAGGCAGUUGGGCCUGGGGGGAGCUUGGGCCUUUCCCUAGUGUUACGGAGCUCUGGGAGGGGCUAUCUGGAAAGGAGAGAGUUUCCAAGAGAUGCGGAGACCCAGGCUGGAGGGGGGAGGGGUGUGCGUGGUGGCGGUCACCAGAAGGAGACAGACACAGGGCCUUGCUCCUGACAUCCAAAGGGAAUGGUCUGGAAUCGGCCUCACCCCAGCCCAAUCUCAGACCCUGCCCCGUGCCACACCCCUGUCCCUGGGGAGCAAAGGCAGGCAGGGCAGGCUCCCCAUCACGCGGGCAGACUCACUUACACGCCCCCCUCCUCGUUCUCCACUCCCUCCAGCCCCCGCAGCGGGGCCAGUCCCAGUGCUUGCACAAGAGCUGCCUCGGCUUUCCUUAGGCAAGUUUAAGAGCCCCAACGUCCUUUUCCCAGGGUGGGGAGGGGACCUGUUUUAGUCAGCUUGGGCUGCCAUAACAGAGUACCACACUGGGAUGGCUGAAGUCACAGAAAUGCAUUUUCUUAUAGUUCUGGAGGCUGGAAGUCCGAGAUCAAGGUGGCAGGGAUGGUUUGUGGUGAGGACUGCCUCCUUGGCUUGCAGAUAGAAACUUAUUGCUGUGUUCUCACAUGGCCUUUUCUCUGUGCAUACAGAGAGAGAGAGAGAGACAGACAGAGACAGAGACAGACAGAGAGAGAGAGAGAAAUAGAUAUCUGGUGUCUCUUCCACUUUUUAUAAGGGCACCUGUCCUAUGGGAUUAGGGCCUCAUCCUAAUGACCUCAUUUAAAUUUAAUUACCUACAUAAAAGCCCUGUCUCCAAAUAUAGUCACAUUGGGGGUUACAGCUUCAACCUAUGAAUUUGGGGGGAGACACAAUUCAGUCCACAGCAGGUGGUCACCACAAACAUGGACAGCUGGAGCCAACUCCCCUUUAGAAUUCCCACCCCCAGUAGGGAGGAGGAGGAGGAAUAGAGGCAUGGGAAGUAGAAACAUUGGGAAAUUCUGUGCUAGGGUGGCCCUGGAGGCCUCGGGGAGACACCGGACCCAGUGCAGCGAGGAGGAGCCCCCAGCAGAGGGCUGUUAUGGGAAGAGCUUGGGCUUUGGAGUCUGAGGGUGCGCAGUCUGCCAUAGAACCUUGGGCAACUCACCUCACCCCUGUGAGUCCAAUUUCCACUCUGAAACUGGAGCCAUCUGCUCACCUGGGCACGGGGGGCGGGGCACAGGGAGAAGUCAGUGAGAUCAUGCACCUGGCACAGCACCUGACUCUUAGUAGGUGCUCAAUAAACACUCCCAUCCAUCUUGGAGUUUAGAUUUAGGGCUUCUCUCUUUUUGGCACUCUGGACUGUAAACUCCUCAUCUUUGAUCCAGAGGCAUUUCUGACUAGGGCUUCCCCUCUUGUAUUUUUAAUAUCCCUCUCUAAUCAGAUUGAGGAAUUGGCUGCAUUGCAUGGCCUCCAUAGUAGCUCCAAAUGCUUCCUGGGGAAUUUAAUAUCUACCCCUCUCAUCAGAAUUGAGCACCUACUGUGAGCCCUUCCCUGUACUACUCGCUUGAGGGGAAUAUAAGUGAGGAUAUGGCCAUGAUUCAAGCCUGCAGGAUUUCACACACAUGCCGAGUGGGAGAAAACCAGCUCACACAGAGAAUUAGAGGAUGGGGCAGAAAACAGUCUCCUGAGGCACAGGGUCUCGGUGCUUGAGUGGGUGGGAGUAAGACCCCAGAGUAGGCUGAAAAGGCUUCCCAGCGAGGCUGAACUAAUCAGGACCUUGGAGGAUGAGAAAGAUGUGGUUUAGUUGAGAGUUUCCAAGGGAAAAUUAGAGCAGAGAUGCCCAAAGUAAAUUCUAGGAAACGUCAUUGCUCUUUAAAAAAAAAAAAAAAGUUCAAAUUCAGUAGGUUUCUGUAGUGCAGGGCUUAUCAGAGCCUUUGAAAGUGCUGAUGGGAAUUGUGAAUACUCAAGGACAGACGGAAGAUUAGGUGUUUCCCCCCAAACUUUCCUGGCAACAGAACCCUUUUCUUACAGAGCAUCAGUUAGAACCAUGGAGAGUCUCCAUGGGGGUUUACGUGGGAAAAUUACAACUGUGAUAGGAGAUGACAAAACCAGGGCACACUCCAGUGCUCUGUAGCAGCGGCUGGAAAGGCAGCCCUUCCCCUGGGGCUGGGAAGUCUGAACUUGGUUCCAGGAGCCAGGUGAGCUCUAUGCAGUUUUAGUAUUUGGGGGAGGGCAGGCCAUUGGUUGGAGUAGCUAGAGGCCUGGCAGUAGGGGACGGAGAAGCUGUCCACUGGACCCGGUGGCUCUAGGGCAACAGACCUUCUGUGGGAAGAUGCUGGUGUGUGUGCGCGUGCGUGUGUGUGUGCGCGUGCCUGAGCGUGACAGGAUCCGGCCCUCUGGGAAGGGGAUGACCAGAACCAGGCAGGGGGUUUCCAGCCAGAACCAGCAGGGUCCAUUUUCAGGGGAAGUGCAGUGUGUGUGGGAGGGCCCCUGAGGCCCAGAGCUGAGAAGUAGGGAAGCCAAAUUCUUCUGGGCAGGGUCUACGUGGAUAGCCUUGAUUCUGGUGGGGCUGAGGAGCUGGGAGGCAGACCCCCUGCCCUGGUCAGGCCCGGUUCCCUGGCUGGCGGGGGCGGGAGGCCUCUGGAGCUGCAGCUGGAGGGGCUGGGGCAGUGUUGCAUGGUGUGAUUAACCUACUAACCCAGGGCUCGGCCGGGACGCUGUGGCGUGUGACAAGGUGCCUGGCCUUCUGCCGACCGACUAACCCACUAACCAGGCCCGAGCAUGCCCUACUAACCCCCUGCAGCCACACCCUACUAACCUUGCAGCUCGUGGGCCUUUCCAGGGGCUAGGAUGCGGGGCAGACAAGGCUCCGGAAGCCCCUGCCCAGGGCCUGGGAUCUCUGUGCAGACCCACGUUCCAGGAGAGGGCGCGCAAACAGGACUCGCCAACUCUGCUGCUUCCUGCUGGGUGACUCUGAGCAAGUCACCUCACCUCUCUGAACCCCCGUUUCCUCGGCAGUAGAACGGGAGGCCUGCUCCUCACCUCACAGGUGGCAGUGAGGAUUCCCAGGAAUAUAAAGCUCUUGACACAUGGCAGAUACUUAAUACAUAUAUAGGAGGGCAGGGGUGGGAGACCCAGAAAACCUGACCCAUCAUGCACCCUGGCAGACCCUGGUCCCUCUGGGUGGUCUGCACACAGACCCCUCUGCCUGGGGCUGGACACUUGCUUUGAACCCCUAACCGUCUCUUCCCACACUCUUCCUCCUCUUCAGCUUUCUUUCCGUAGACAGCUCUUUUGUUCAAUUACUAACCUGUCUAACCCCGGGGGGGCCUCAACUGCACCCCGACCACCCCUUAACAAACUAAUGGACCUGCGUGUGUUCUUCCUUUUCUCCUAGCGGCUCCCAGUGUGUGUCUGCUGAGGUGCCCCUGUCCGCUGGUGCUGUGCUCUGACUUACUAACCCAGCCCCUACUAACUCUGUUUUCUCUUCUUACUAACCCCAGCCCUGCCGAGCUCUGGGCCUCCCCUCGGGGCUGGUCCCCCUCCUUUUGGCAAGCAGAUGUCCUGGGGCUGGCCCUGCAGACAGAUGCCCCACUUUGCUGCCCCGAUUGGCUGUGAGUUCAGAGUCCACUGGGCCGGUUCUACUAACCACACCAGUGGCCCAGAGGAAGAGGUGGUCCUGCGGGUGUGGGAGGGAGGCCGACCUCUGAGCACAGCAUCCCUCCUCUGUGCACAAGGCUGGUUGCCACUGGGAGUGGACGGGAGCAGGGCAACUUCUGGGGUGUGAGUGUGGAGGCCUGUGGGUCUAGAAUGCGGAGCUCUGGACUCCUCCCAGCCAAGGGAGCAGAGAGAAGGCGCCUGUGUGUCCUUCUCUGGAGGGAAGCGAGGGUAGAAUCUUCUCCAUUGUCAAGUGGCCGGUAGAGGCGUGGUGCAAUUAAUGAAAGGCGUGUCCUGCACAGGAAGUCAGCAAAGGGGCGUGUCUCACACAGGAGGUUAGUAAAGGGGCGUGUUGCACACCGGAAGUCAGUAAGUGAAGACUUCCCCACAUUGGAAGUCGCUGAAAGGGUCUUAACCGCAUUGGAAAUCACUGAGUGGAGCAUUUAGUACUGGAAAGUCAGCCAGAGGGGGCAUUUCCCACAUUUGGAGGAUGGGAAGAGGGGUAUCUUUUACACCAGAAGUCAGUGAGAGGGGACUUUUGGCCUUAUCACAAGGUGCUGAGAAGGAAUGGCCAAGAGAUCAGUGAGAGGGGCCUUUCCUAGAACGAGAAGUUGGCUAGAGGGGUCCUUCCCAUCCCUGGAGCUGGGAGACCCGGGUUUCCCACACUGGAAGUAGAUGUGGGCCUUUUUUCCUACCGAAGUCAUUGAGAAGGGCAGUCCACAGGGGGAAGUUUGAGAAACCAGGCAAGAAAGCAGAUCUUGGGUUCGGGGUUUGCAGGAGAAAGUGGGAAGCAACAAAUGAACCCCAGGCACCCACGGAGCCCUGCAGACCAUCGGGCCAGCCAGAAAUUCAUCCCUGGCUCCCUGUCCUGUUCACACCCAUGUCCCUAUACCAGCCUGCCUCCCCAGAGCCCGCCAGCCGCUAAGCCAGGGCCACACCUGGGGGUGAUUUUAUGCCUCACCUCCAGUGGGCACCUUGGUCUCUUUGGGCUAAUCUCUGGCUCCUUUGCACUAACUCUUGCUCUCACCCAGCUAAUCCCUGUCUCGCCCUGGCUGCCCCAGAGGGCUGAGCACUAACAGCCAACCCUGCCCAUCUGGGGGCUCCAGCCUCCUGGCCUGGCUCUGACCUGCUCUUAAUUAACCUCUCCUUCACCUGACUAACUCCUACCCUCCUGAUCUGUUCCUUUCAGCAGAAACUAACGGCUUGUGGAUUUCUUUCUGACUAACAACAGGUCUAACCCUCCUCCUCACUAUUACUAUUAACAGCUUGGAUGUCGGCAUGGCUGGGACUGGGCUAACACAGGUUUGGGACUUGACUAACACAGGGAGAGGCGGAGCUAGUCGUGUUGGACGUGGUCACUGCUCUGGGGAAGAGCCAUCUGAAGUCAGGAAAGUUCUCAGUACUCUAAAGGAGGGGCUGGGCUGUGGCUCAGGCCUGAUGGAGGAGUGGUGUCUGCUGAGGUGGGGUCAGAAACAAAGUCAGCCUCCCAAGAUUUUGGCCACUGGACACAUGCUAUUAACCCCUUAUAACCUGCAUUUGGGCUCUGAUUCUUAUAAACAAUAGCCUGAUAGUUGCAAUAGUGGAUGCAGCGUUUGUGGCCCUAAAAAUGCCUGUCUGGUGUGUACAGAGGAUAUGCCAUUGUGUAUGGAAUUAUCAAUCAUCAGGAGAGGGCCUAGAGUCCUUGAUUUGGGGACUUUAGAGCUUUGGAAGCUCUAGGACAUAAAACUUUAGAUUGGAAUAGUCAGACCGGUUGUAAAUCUAUCACCCAUUUACACCUUGGUGUAAAUUAGCUCAGCUUUCUCUUCUAACUUCUGUGCAAUUUAGCUGCCCUGAGAUGAUGAGAGUUUGGCUGGAAGGGAGUUUGGAUCUCUUCAGUGCUGGGGGAGGGUCCUCUGGGAGCAGAGAGGAGGAGCAACGAGUCCAGGGGUUCUUGGAUGGGGGUAAGAGGCGGCACCAGGUCGUGGGGGGGAGAUGGGAAGAGGGGGC